rnacentral:rRNA from 1 species
UUYGACUGUUUACCAAAAACAUAGCCAAUAGAAAAAAUUAUUACUGGUGAUGCCUGCUCAAUGAUUACACAAUAAAAAAUAAAAAUGAUUAAAUAGCUGCGGUAACACCUGACCGUACAAAGGUAGCAUAAUAAAUCGCCUACUAAUUAUAGGAUAGAAUGAAGGUAAAACGAAAACCCAACUGUCUCAAAACAAUAAAAUUCAAAAUAGAAUGUGUGUGCAAAUCCACACUAAAACGGCAAGACGAUAAGACCCUAAGAACUUUACUAAAAACUUAAUUAAAUACAUAAUAUAAGUUCUAGGUUUCGUUGGGGCAACGAUCUUUAAAAAAGUAACUAAGAUUAAAUAAUCAAAAAAUAAUUUUAUUCAAACAUAUAAACGAUAAGACCCAUUAUAUAAACAAAUUAAUGAUAAUAUAAUAAAAGUCCCUAGGGAUAACAGCGUUA